GACGAACGCUGGCGGCGUGCCUAAUACAUGCAAGUAGAACGCAGUUGCGAACGGGUGAGUAACGCGUAGGUAACUGCCUCAUAGCGGGGGGUAACUAUUUGAAACGAUAGCUAAUACCCCCUACUUUGAGCUAGACCUGCGUUGCAUUUGGUAGUUGGAGGGGGAAAGGCUCACCAAGGGGACGAUACAUAGCCGACCUGGGAGGGUGGACGGCCAAACCGGGAAUGGGGCACGGGCCAGACUGCUACGGGUGGCAGGAGUUGGGAAACUUCGGAAAUGGACGGAAGGCUGGACGAGCAAAGGCGGGGGAGUGAAGAAGGUUUUCGGGUCGUAAAGGUCUGUUGUUAGAGAAGCGGUAACUGAAGAGAAAGCGACGGCUAACUACGUGCCAGCAGCCGCGGUAAUUC
rnacentral:rRNA from 1 species